GGCCGUGCACGCUCGUCGUCCCCUCAUUUCUCCAUCUCUUUGUGCAUCGCUUGUGUAGAUCAUUAGGACUGCUUUGCGAAUGGGGGAGACCCUUUUGGUGGGGCUUUCCUUGGAUCUACGUCCUCUUCACAUGCUCCAGUGUAAUAUUAGGAAGGAAAUUUAUGAAAUUGUUUAUACAACUUUCAGCAACGGAUCUCUUGGCUCUCGCAUCGAUGAAGAACGCAGCGAAAUGCGAUAAGUAAUGUGAAUUGCAGAAUUCAGUGAAUCAUCGAAUCUUUGAACGCAUCUUGCGCUCCUUGGUAUUCCGAGGAGCAUGCCUGUUUGAGGGUCAUUAAUAUCUCAACCACAUCUCUGUGUGUGUGGCUUGGACUCUUGGGGGGACAGUGCAGGGACUUGUGUGGUCCUGCUCCCCUGAAAUGCAUGAGCGGUUUUGUGUGACCUCUGCUCUAGGUGUGAUAACAUAUCUGCAUCUGACCAGGGCUCCGAGCUGCCAUAGGAGAAAAGGCCCCUUUGCUCUUUGACCUCAAAUCAGGUAGGACCACCCGCUGAACUUAAGCAUAUCAAUAAGCGGAGGA
rnacentral:rRNA from 1 species